GAUGAACGCUGGCGGCGUGCCUAAUACAUGCAAGUCGAGCGAACGGACGAGAAGCUUGCUUCUCUGAUGUUAGCGGCGGACGGGUGAGUAACACGUGGAUAACCUACCUAUAAGACUGGGAUAACUUCGGGAAACCGUAGCUAAUACCGGAUAAUAUUUUGAACCGCAUGGUUCAAAAGUGAAAGACGGUUUUGCUGUCACUUAUAGAUGGAUCCGCGCUGCAUUAGCUAGUUGGUAAGGUAACGGCUUACCAAGGCAACGAUGCGUAGCCGACCUGAGAGGGUGAUCGGCCACACUGGAACUGAGACACGGUCCAGACUCCUACGGGAGGCAGCAGUAGGGAAUCUUCCGCAAUGGGCGAAAGCCUGACGGAGCAACGCCGCGUGAGUGAUGAAGGUCUUCGGAUCGUAAAACUCUGUUAUUAGGGAAGAACAAAUGUGUAAGUAACUGUGCACGUCUUGACGGUACCUAAUCAGAAAGCCACGGCUAACUACGUG
rnacentral:rRNA from 1 species